AUGAUUUUGGGCAUAGCAGUUGGAUACAAUCUUGUAUUUGAUCAGGAUGAUUUUAUCACAGCCAUUAUUUUUGCAUGUCUUGUAAUUAAUGUGCUGCCAUAUAUUUUCUCCCCUAGGGACAAGAGGAUGGCUGGAACGUUAAAUGCAUGCAUAGCUGGCUUUACGAUUCUUUGUUUUGUGCUUGGUUUAUUAAUCAGUCAACCAGAGAUUCCCCUCCAUGUGAAUGUGAUGUUCCCUAAGUUGAGUGGUGAAAGUGCUUACUCAUUGAUGGCACUUAUGGGUACAAACAUAGUGUCCCACAAUUUUUAUGUACAUUCGUCCAUUGUUCAGGUUCAGAGGUCUCAUGUUCAUAGCCUCGGUGCCCUGUUUCAUGACCACCUUUUUUCUAUAUUAUUUACUUUUACUGGGGUCUUUCUUGUGAACUAUGUUCUGUUGAGCUCAGCAGCGGCGGAAUCUAGUCACAAUGUGAUCCUCACAUUUCAUGAUGCUGUAGAGCUAAUGAACGAGAUAUUUACGAGUUCCAUUGCACCACUUGUGUUCUUAGCAGUUCUUCUCUUUUCGAGCCACAUCAUCACAUUGACAUCUGUUAUAACUAGCCAUGUAGUCACUAAGCAUUUCUUUGGCACAAACUUGUCCCUAUUUGCGCAUCAUGUGCUACUUAAGAUUCUUGCCACGAUUCCUGCCAUCUAUUGUGCAAGAUUAGAAGGCUCUGAAGGGGUAUAUCAGUUAAUCAUUCUUUGUCCAGUAAUCCAGGCAUUUACCCUUCCUUCAUCGGUCAUUCCUAUUUUCCGCAUUGCCUCAUCAAUGUCAAUAAUGGGCAACUACAAGAUAUCUCUAUAUGUUGAAACAUUAGCCUUUAUUGCAUUCUGUCUUACGUUAUUUGUAAAUAUCAUCUUCGCGGCGGAAAUCAUGUUUGGUGAGAGCGCCUCGACAAACAACCUGAAAGGGAACACUGAAACCCCAGUGGUAAUACCACAUAGUGUACUGAUGCUCAUGUCUUGUGCAUCUAUUGCUUUUGCACUCUUCCUGGUUGUUACUCCACUAAAUUCAUCAAGUAGGGAAACUGAAACACAUGACUUGUGUGUGGACUCUUAG
rnacentral:rRNA from 1 species